rnacentral:ncRNA from 2 species
GCUCUCAUCAUACGUCCAUCUCGUAUAGGAGCAGGAAUUGGCUUGCUCGUCUCUACCUGAUCACCGUAAAUGAUCGGACUACGGGAGCUUUUUAGAAUCUG